rnacentral:rRNA from 1 species
UACAGAGGGGGCAAGCGUUAUUCGGAAUUAUUGGGCGUAAAGGGCGCGUAGGCGGCAUGGCAAGUGGAUGGUGAAAUCCCUCGGCUUAACCGAGGAACUGCCGUCCAAACUGCUUCGCUUGAGACCGGGAGAGGUGAGUGGAAUUCACGGUGUAGCAGUGAAAUGCGUAGAUAUCGUGAGGAAGACCAGUGGCGAAGGCGGGUCUCUGGACAGUUCCUGACGCUGAGGCGCGAAGGCCAGGGGAGCAAACGGG